GCCAGGCGUGGUGGUGGAUGCCUGUGGUUCUAGCUACUUGGGAGGCUGAGGCGGGAGGAUCUCUUGAGCCUGGGAGGUCAAGGCUGCAGUGAGCAGUGAUCACACCACUGCACUCUAGCCUGGGCAACAAAGUGAGACCCUGUUUCAA
rnacentral:SRP_RNA from 1 species